rnacentral:rRNA from 1 species
GACGAAGGGGGCUAGCGUUGUUCGGAAUUACUGGGCGUAAAGCGUGCGCAGGCGGUUAUGCAAGACAGAUGUGAAAUCCCCGGGCUCAACCUGGGAACUGCAUUUGUGACUGCAUGGCUGGAGUGCGGCAGAGGGGGAUGGAAUUCCGCGUGUAGCAGUGAAAUGCGUAGAUAUGCGGAGGAACACCGAUGGCGAAGGCAAUCCCCUGGGCCUGCACUGACGCUCAUGCACGAAAGCGUGGGGAGCAAACAGG